rnacentral:rRNA from 1 species
ACGGGUGAGUAACACGUAUCCAACCUGCCGCUUACUCGGGGAUAGCCUUUCGAAAGAAAGAUUAAUACCCGAUGGUAUAAAGAGUUCGCAUGUUCUCUUUAUUAAAGAAUUUCGGUAAGCGAUGGGGAUGCGUUCCAUUAGAUUGUUGGCGGGGUAACGGCCCACCAAGUCUACGAUGGAUAGGGGUUCUGAGAGGAAGGUCCCCCACAUUGGAACUGAGACACGGUCCAAACUCCUACGGGAGGCAGCAGUGAGGAAUAUUGGUCAAUGGACGAGAGUCUGAACCAGCCAAGUAAGCGUGAAGGAUGACUGCCCUAUGGGUUGUAAACUUCUUUUAUAAGGGAAUAAAGUGAGGGACGUGUCCCUUUUUGUAUGUACCUUAUGAAUAAGGAUCGGCUAACUCCGUGCCAGCCGCCGC